rnacentral:rRNA from 1 species
UACGGAGGGUGCAAGCGUUAUCCGGAUUCACUGGUUUAAAGGGUGCGUUAGUGGAGUGGUAAGUCGGUGGUGAAAUCUCCAAGCUUAACUUGGAAACUGCCGUUGAUACUAUCAUUCUUGAAUAUCGUGGAGGUAAGCGGAAUAUGUCAUGUAGCGGUGAAAUGCUUAGAUAUGACAUAGAACACCGAUUGCGAAGGCAGCUUGCUACACGAUCAUUGACACUGAGGCACGAAAGCGUGGGGAUCAAACAGG